rnacentral:rRNA from 1 species
CAGCCGCCGCGGUAAUACGUAGGGUGCAAGCGUUAAUCGGAAUUACUGGGCGUAAAGCGCACGCAGGCGGUCUGUCAAGUCAGAUGUGAAAUCCCUGAGCUUAACUUAGGAAUUGCAUUCGAUACUGGGAAGCUAGAGUAUGGGAGAGGAUGGUAGAAUUCCAGGUGUAGCGGUGAAAUGCGUAGAGAUCUGGAGGAAUACCGAUGGCGAAGGCAGCCAUCUGGCCUAAUACUGACGCUGAGGUACGAAAGCAUGGGGAGCAAACAGGAUUAGAUACCCCGGUAGUCCCUGUCUCUUAUAC